rnacentral:rRNA from 1 species
CGUGCGGCUGCUACCAUGCAGUCGAACGGAGAUAUGAUUUCGGUUGUAUCUUAGUGGCGAACGGGUGAGUAACGCGUGAGCAACCUGACUCUUAGAGGGGGAUAACACUCGGAAACGGGUGCUAAUACCGCAUAAGACCACGACAUGGCAUCAUGACGAGGUCAAAGGAGCAAUCCGCUGAGAGAGGGGCUCGCGUCCCAUUAGAUAGAUGGCGGGGUAACGGCCCACCAUGUCAGCGAUGGGUAGCCGAGCUGAGAGGCUGAUCGGCCACACUGGAACUGAGACACGGUCCAGACUCCUACGGGAGGCAGCAGUGGGGAAUAUUGGGCAAUGGGCGCAAGCCUGACCCAGCAACGCCGCGUGAGGGAAGAAGGCUUUCGGGUUGUAAACCUCUGUCCUUGGUGACGAAAAAAAUGACGGUAGCCAAGGAGGAAGCCCCGGCUAACUACGUGCCAGCAGCCGCGGUAAUACGUAGGGGGCGAGCGUUGUCCGGAAUUACUGGGCGUAAAGGGUGCGUAGGUGGCCUUUUAAGUUGGAUGUGAAAUACCCGGGCUUAACUUGGGGGGUGCAUCCAAAACUGGGAGGCUAGAGUGCAGGAGAGGAAAGCGGAAUUCCUAGUGUAGCGGUGAAAUGCGUAGAUAUUAGGAGGAACACCAGUGGCGAAGGCGGCUUUCUGGACUGUAACUGACACUGAGGCACGAAAGCGUGGGGAGCAAACAGGAUUAGAUACCCUGGUAGUCCACGCGGUAAACGAUGAAUACUAGGUGUAGGGGGUAUCAACUCCCCCUGUGCCGGAGCUAACGCAAUAAGUAUUCCGCCU